CUACUCCAUUGGUGGUGUUAGCAAGUGGAGUCUAGAGGGAGAACAACACAAAGUAGGAAAUUGAUUCCCUCGCCCUCGCUUGCUUCAACGACCCCGCCCAUCUUGGUGGGGUCGAUUCCCCCAUCGCCCGACUCAUCUCUGACGAGUAUGGCGUCAGUGGGUACGCCCCGCCGCUCGUAUGCUUGGUGGGUCCCAGAACACCCGUGAUGUGUAUGAGCUUGACUAGGGCGAGGGGCUUGUGCUCGUGCUCGAGCUCGACAAGACGCACUUCGAUCUCGUCACCAACUACGAGCUGGACUGUGAGACUCCAGAGCAGGCGGGGGCGACGAAGACGAAAGUGGGGGCAGUUCGAGCUUGUCGCUGCCGGAGACCCUAGAGAGGUGCGCGAAGAGACAUGGUUAGAUUUGUUGGCCACCACUGGUAAACUGCACUAAUAACAAAUCGGAUGUCAUCUCUCAUGUUGCCGAUUCAACCUUGGACGAUGUUGCGCGGCCUGCGGCCAUGGACGAUGUGCUGUUGGACAAUGACGCGAGGCCGAGGCAGCCAAUGUGAAUGACCACUGGAAAUCAUUUACCUUUCAAUCUUGGAAGGCCCUAAGCUGAAGGAGAGCAUCAAUUGUCAUGAGAGAUAAGCAAUAUCUAUUAGACACGCAUACUAUCAGGCUAACGCAAACCACUCAGGAAUGAAGAACUUACUUCCCUACAAGGAAAGUCCAGUGAUUGGGCAACAACAUGUGGAAGGAUAAUUACUGGAUACUUUUUUUAGCGAACAACUGCGGAGCGAUUUGCUGUCUCAAAACAUGAGACACAAUGAGGUGAAAGAGAUGUGAUGGACAUAGAAGAGUAAACCCAUGAGGACAAAAGAGAUGUGGUGCACAUAGAAGGAGGAAGCAAGGACCUCGAUCCACAUUAUUGAAGACAUGGAUAAGAACAAGAGUAUCACACUUCACACAUCAACCAAUCAAUGACACAUGUUGGUAUUGGGGCAUAUCGCCCUCCCUUGCAUUAUACCUGUUAAUAUUAAGAUGAAACACUUAGUUGGAUGCAUUUCUCUUAUAUUGUUCUAUGGCAACACCCGAGCAUUCUGCUAGAGAAGAUGCUCGG